UGGCCAUCCUGCCGGAAACGCCUUGCCGGGCGGCUGCGUCGGCGCAGUCUCGUGGAGCUCCGGGCUAUCCAAGAGGCUUUGUGGGAAAUAAUGAUGUCAAGAAAAAGAAAAAUUGACUCGGAGUGUAGGAUAUUCAAAGAACAGCGGACUUAUGAUUACUUUUUCAUGCAGUACAAGGAAAGAGCUGUAUGUCUGAUAUGCCAGAAUAUAGUAUCUGUGUUCAAAGACUAUGAUUUGCGGCAAUACUAUGAAACUUAACAUGAAGAUAAAUAUGAUUGGUUGGAGAAGUGAGAAAAGAUAAAAUAUUAAAACUGAAAAAUACACUGAUAACUCAGCAAAAUACUUUUGUGAAGCAGAAGCAGCUAAAUAUUCAUCACUGAGAGCAAAUUUUCAAGUUGCCAAUAGCACGCACUGGCAGACCAUUCGUGGAGGGAGAGUUUGUUAAAGAAUGCCUUCUUUCUGUUGCCAAAGAGAUGUGUCCAGAGAAGGCUGAUUUAUUGAGUACAGUGAAUCUUUCAGGACCUACAAUUACAUGGAGGAUUGAAAAAAUGGGAGACGAUCUGCAUCAGCAUUUGCAAAACUCCAUAAAAAAAAUUUCAUAUUUUUCCUUGGCACUUGAUGAAAGCAAUGAUGUUCAUGAUUCUGCACAACUUCUAAUUUUUAUUUGUGGGAUGAAUGAUUAUUUUGAAGUCAUAGAAGAGCUUGCUGCACUGCAAAGCAUCAAAAAGGAACAACUAUAGGAGAUUAUAGCUAUGAAAAGGUUUGCCAAACUAUGAAUGGUUUGGAGCUGGACUGGGCUAAAGUAGCUAGCGUGACAACUGAUGGUGCUCUUAGCAUGGUGGGGGGUCUAAGAAAGGAGUAAUUGCUCGCAUUAACCAAGAGAUGGACAAACAUAACCAUUCUCAUCCAAUAGCCAUACACUGCCUCAUCCACCAACAAGUGCUGUGUAGUAAAUCACUGAAGUGGGUCUCAGUUAUGAAAACUGUGAUCUCUUGUGUUACUUCAUUAGAGCUAAUGCACUAAAUCACAGACAAUGUCAGGAAUUUCUGUCUGAGCUAAAUGUUGAGUAUGAAGAUGUUCUAUAUCACACAGAAGUCCAUUGGCUGAGUUGAGGGAGAGUUUUGAAACGUUCUAUGACUUACUUCCACAGAUUACAACUUUUCUGCUUUCAAACAACAAAGACGUACCAGAGCUCAAUGAUGCAGAAUGGAAAUGGCACCUUGCCUUUCUGACAGAUGUAACAGAGCUACUCAACAAUUUCAAUAUGCAACUUCAAGGAAAGGGGACGCUCAUAUGUGAUAUGCAAUCACAUGUUAAAGCAUUGGAAGUAAAAUUAGGCCUCCUCAUCAAACAAGUGAAGGAGGAAAACUUCUGCCAUCUCCCCACAACUCAAAAUCUGUUAGUGGAAAAACUGCUGAUUGCAUUCUCAAACAAAACAUGUGUGGAACAAUUGCAAAAGGAGUUCCAAUUUAGAUUUAAAGAGCUUCAUCUCCAUGAACAGGAGAUACAGCUUUUCUGUAACCCAUUGGAUAUAAUUUACCAAAUGGAACUGGUUGAACUACAGAAUUGUGACUCUCUGAAAGACGCAUUCAAGUCAAGCAGCUUUAUAAUUUCUAUGCAUCUCUCCCCUCUGAGAUAUAUCCUCAUCUCAGGAGCCAUGCCCUCAAAAUGGCAACCAUCUUUGGCAGUACUUAUGUCUGUGAACAGAUUUUUUCUAAAAUGAAACAUUUGAAAUCUCCAACCAGAUCAAGACCAAUGGAUGCACACUUGCAUCACUUGUUAUGACUAGCAGUGAUAAAUAUGGAACCAGACAUUGACCAUCUCAUUAGCCAAAAGCAGGCCCAUAGUUCCCAUUGAAAUACUGGUCACAGUGAAAAAUCUAACUUUGAUACAAAGACCUUCAUAGAAGACAACGCUCAUUACACCAUCCAGUCUGAUUUAAUAAUAUCCUUAGUGGAGUUUUAAUUGGUUAAAAGGGCUUUCUUGUUCAUCAAGUGAUUGUGGUUAAGUAUAGUGGCCUUAAUUAAAAGUUUUAAUAUCUUGAAACCUACAAGGUGAUCCGUUCAAAAAUGAUUUUCCUCUUUGUACAAAAAUACUUCCAUUGCCUUCUCUCCUAGAACAUGCUUGCUUUUACACUGUGUUCACAAAAAUAGAAACAAAAGCCUCUGUGGACUGAUCAGCUUUAUUUGACUAUUGCUGCCCUUCAUCUCUGAGGAAAUCUGGUGACUCACCCUCAGAGAUCAUCUAAUCCAUUAUGUACCAAAACAAAGAAUCUCCUCUAAAUGGGAUUUCCCCCUUCUCCCCCCCAAGAAAGAGUCAUCCAGCCUUUAUCAGUCAGUCAACAAGCUACAUACUGUAUAUUGUUAUAUUAUUUAUAUAUUAAAUAACAUAUAUAUGUAUAUAUAUGUGUGUAUAUAUAUAUAUAUAUAUGUAUGUAUAUAUCAUUAAGUGCUGGGGAAACAAAGAAAGGCAAAAGACAAUCUUUUCUGUGAAGGAGCUAAUGGGGGACACAACAUGGAUAUUGACAGGGAAAACUGGAGCUAAUCUCCAAGGGAAGGCAUCUGCAUUAAAAGGGGAAGAGAAAGGCUUUUUGCAGACGAUGGGAUUUUAACUUAGAGCCUUGAAAGAAGCCAAAAAUGCCACUAGGAAGGAGGGAAAAAGUUUGACAUACAGAAAACCAUUUCACAUAUCUAGAGUUGGGAAAUGGAGUAUCUUGUUCAAGAAACAGCAAGGAAGCCAAAGUUCACUGGAUUGCAGUUUGUGGAAGGGAUUAGAGAAGAUUGGGAAGAUGGGAAAGGGCUGCAUUAUAAGGGGCUUUAAAAAGAUCCUAAAGGUUAAUAGAAAGCCUCUGGAUCUUAAUGAAUAGGGGAAGACUAGGUCAGAUCAAUGUUUUAGGAAGAUUACUAAUAGCUGAGUCGGGGGUGAGGCAGAGCAGACUUGAGGCAAGCAAACCUCUCGGGUGGCAAGAGCAGUAGAGAGGUGGAGGUGUCAGAGGAGAGAAAGGGGAUGUGAGAGAGAUCUAGAAAUUACAGGACUUGGCUACUGAUUGGAUAUGGCGGGACAAAGUGACAGGAUCUUUAGUAAGAGAGCUGCAGAAUGAGACAGUUACAGAGUUGCUAGACUAGACUGGUACAAGGAACACUUGCAUUUGUGGAGGCGGGGAGUUGGUGGUUAGUGAUAGGAAAAAAGAAAAAGUGUCAGUUAAACAUCUUGUUAUGUGAAAUUAGAAUGCACUUAAUUUAUACCUUAAGAAUUUAAUAGAUGAUAUUUUGUUCUUUGAUAUUGAAAUGUUCUUGAUUGUUGCUAUUAAAUUUGUAAUAAGAAAGAACAUUAUUAUUAUUAUUAUUUUUUUUUGUGGUGGCCCCCUGAGGUAGUAGCCUUUUGUAUUCCUCUCAAGAAGUUUUUACGAAAAUCCAAUCUAACUUUACUUCUUACAUCUUUUACCCAUUGGGCCUUAAUUCUUUCCUCUGUUGCCAAGCAGAAUAAUUCUUUUUUGUUUAUUUGUUUUUGUUUUUCAAUUUUAUUUUUUAUUUUUUUAAAUAAUUAUAACUUUUAAUUGACAGAACCCAUGCCUGGGUAAUUUUUUACAAUAUUAUCCCUUGCACUCACUUCUAUUCCAACUUUUCCCCUCCCUCCUUCCCUCCCUCCACCCCCUGCCCCAGAUGGCAAGCAGUCCUAUACAUGUUAAAUAUGUCACAGUAUAUCCUAGAUACAAUAUAUGUGUGCAGAACUGAACAGUUCUCUUGUUGCACAAGAAGAAUUGGAUUCAGAAGGGAAAAAUAACCCGGGAAGAAAAACAAAAAUGCAAAUAGUUUGCAUUCAUUUCCCGUGUUCUUUCUUUGGGUGUAGCUGCUUCUGUCCAUCAUUGAUCAAUUGGAACUGAAUUAGAUAUUCUCUUUGUUGAAGAAAUCCACUUCCAUCAGAAUACAUCCUCAUGCAGUAUCGUUGUUGGAGUAUAUAAUGAUCUCCUGGUUCUGCUCAUUUCACUUAGCAUCAGUUCAUGUAAGUCUCUCCAAGCCUCUCUGUAUUCAUCUUGCUGGUCAUUUCUUACAAAACAAUAAUAUUCCAUAACAUUCAUAUACCACAAUUUACCCAGCCAUUCUCCAAUUGAUGGGCAUCCAUUCAUUUUCCAGUUUCUAGCCACUACAAACAGGGCUGCCACAAACAUUUUGGCACAUACAAGUCCCUUUCCCUUCGUUAGUAUCUCUUUUGGGUAUAAGCCCAGAAGUAGCACUGCUGGAUCAAAGGGUAUGCACAUUUUGAUAACUUUUUGGGCAUAAUUCCAGAUUGCUCUCCAGAAUGGUUGGAUUCGUUCACAGCUCCACCAACAAUGGAUCAGUGUCCCCGUUUUCCCACAUCCCCUCCAACAUUCAUCAUUAUUUUUUCCUGUCAUCUUAGCCAAUCUGACAGGUGUGUAGUGAUAUCUCAGUGUUGUCUUAAUUUGCAUUUCUCUGAUCAAUAGUGAUUUGGAACACUCAUAUGAGUGGAAAUAGUUUCAAUUUCAUCAUCUGAAAAUUGUCUGUUCAUAUUCUUUGACCAUUUAUCAAUUGGAGAAUGGCUUGAUUUCUUAUACAUUAGAGCCAAUUCUUUAUAUAUUUUGGAAAUGAGGCCUUUAUCAGAACCUUUAACUGUGAAAAUGUUUUCCCAGUUUGUCAAGCAGAAUAAUUUUUAUCCCUUCUUCCAUUUAAGAACUUGAAAAACAGCAAGCCUUUGCUGCUAAGUAUUCACUUCCCAGGCUAAACAUUUCUAGUUCCUUUAGUCUGUCCAUUGUGGAAAUAUCUUGAGAUUUUUCCACAUAAUUCCUAGUUUCUGUAGUUUAUCCUAAUGAAAUAUUUGAUUCUCUAGGCUAACAGAGAUCAUACUGUUUCUUUAAGAGCUAAAUGGAGUGUUUGGGAAAUGGCAGUUUUAACUGGCAGUUUACAGACUCAAGUGAUGGCUUGAGAGGUAGCUCCAUAGCAGAGUUUUUUUUUUUUUUUUUUCCAUAGCACAGUUUUUAUAAAAAUGUCAGCCUAGGACUUAGGAGGACCCACCUUCAAAACUGGCCUUUCUUAUUAGAUGUGUGACUUUGGGCAAGUCACUUAAUCCUGUCUCCAGAUUUAAUAAAAACAAAAAGUUAUGGCUUGACUGAAUUCCCUUGUUCUGGCAUAACUGGAGAACCUAGAAAAGACAAAGAAUGAAUAUAGAGGGAUCUUUUUUCCUGAUAAAAUUAUUAUAGUUUUGAUCUUAUAAAAAGGGAUGUAAAAGAGUCUUUUGAAGAGGUAUUAUUUUGUAUCUUGAAGAAUGUAAAUAAUAUAGGAUUGUGUUCCCUGAAGUAGCACUGCAGUUGUGCUAAGAAACUUCUGGUUGUGAACUUUUUCAGUUAAAAUAACGUAAAUCAUUCUUGGAUUUGUUAUUGAUUUCAUUAUUAAUACAUUGUAUAUUUAAUAGCUUUAACACUUAUUCUUAGGACAUUAAGGGAUUUAAUAGAGAUUUGAGUAAUCACUGUUGGUAAAUGAGGUUUCUUCAGUUUAAUAACAUUUAAUUAUUAAACAGGGGCUUAGAGCUUGAUUGGUUAAGAGAUGGUGAAAUUUUAUUAAUGAAGAAAUACAUCAACAAACCACUAGAUUAUCUUUAGACCUUAAGAUAAGAUUAAAUAUGAAUAUGUAUUUUCAAUAUAAUUGGCUGGGAUUAAUUUCACUAUGAUAUGUGGGGGAGGAGUUUUAAUGAUCAGAACUAAGAGCUAGAGACAUGGUAUAGUGAAAAGAGCUAGACUUGGAAUCAUGGGAUAUAAGUUUGAAGCCUUGCUUUAUCACUAUCUGUGUGACCUAAAAAAAUCACAUUCUCUCUCCAGGCCUCAGUUCCCAUAUUAUCUGCAAUAUGACAGGUUUGGUCUAUAUGACCUCUAAGAUUCCUCCUAAUCCAAGACUUGAGUGUUACUGACAGCUCAGAAGUUCUGUAAGUCUGUGGUUCUCUUCAGGCUGUAUCACAGACACAUGAACUAAGAUUCUUGAUAAAAUUUUUAAAAAUCAGUAAAAGUUGAAAAAUUAAGCUAAAUGUUUGUUUCAGUUUUAAAUCCAGUUUAUGGACAUUUCAACACGACAACUGACAUGUGACAAAUUACUUCAAGAUUCCAGAAGCAUUAAAAAUAAUUGCAUUGUCAUUAUCUGGCCAUACUUGUUUUUAUGGCAGAAAGCCUGAUUUUCCUUAGGCAUGAAUAAAAUAUGUAUAAUCCUAAUUCAUUUUUAGAUCUAAAAUACUUCAGUAUAUUUCGUUGUAACUUAUAAAUGUAAAAGGCACAAGAAGAAAGAACAUAAAAUAGUUUUAGAAAUAAAACUUAAUUAUUCUCAAAUUUC